AUAUUUAUUAGUUUAUUUAGAAGUGAUUCCAUUUAAAAAUAUCGCUCUUUUUUUCCAUGAUAUUCGUAAAGGAUUUGUAUUUUAUCUUGUUCGAAUCUUGCUAUAUUCGUUCCCAUCACUAUCUAUUCAAAUUGACGACUGUUUAAAAUUUUUUUACCGAUAUUAUUAUAGUAAAAAAUUUGAUCUUUUGACGAUCAUUUAAUAACUUUACGGCAUCUUAAUGAUUCGUAUGUGAAUUUUUGCUUGUAAACAUUCCCUAAUGAUUACGUACCGAGUUUUAAACGGAUAUUCGCCAGCAUCGAAGGCGAGGUUGAUUUUAUGGUUGAGAAAGCACGCGCACGACACAAAAGGUUUACUCUCUUUUGAGGGUAGUUCGGUUCACCGUUUUCUUGCUGAAAAUCAAUAUACAGGCGACCAAUGAGCGCAAGCCUUGAUGGUUUCCAUGCAUCUCUGUUCGAUUUGACACUCGUUGCACGCGAAACACGCUCGUUCUCGCGAGCCAAGUCUCAUAGGGACUUUCCAUCUUGAUAUUUGCUUUUGGCAAACAUAGUACUCACGCUCCGUUUAUCGACAGAAUGCCAUUUUCGCGCCAAGAAGAAAGCAUUUUCUCCAUGUUGUUCACUCCGAAUUUGUUUGUAUUUACUGUGUAUUUCCUACUUUCCCUAUAUUGGAAGAACAUGAUGAGAAUGCGUUUAAUGUGGUAAGCCUCGUUCAGAUUAGUCGAGUUACUUGUACUCAAGCAGUUUGAAUUGAAGUAAUUGAAAGCCUUGGUUAAUUUAAUGGAAUGUUAUUUGAAUUCAAGUACAGUAAUAAAAAGCGUUCGUUGUUAUACAUAUACUAAUUCUUGGAAAUGGUCAGCUCGAAGUGGAUUUCAAGUAUGCUGAAAUAAACUAUGAUAAAAUUAAAUCAAAUCUGACUGAUCCUUUUGACUCGUAUUUUUUUCCAAUUGAAUUUAUAGAAAUUAACUGUCAGAUGAUUGUGGAUACUAAAGUAAUAAGGAUGCAUGACUUAAUUUGAAACGAUAGAUAGAAAGAGGAGUGAACAAGAAGAAACAUUAUUGCGAAAAAAAUUGGGAACCUUAGAUUUUAAGGUUAUUUUCUUUCGAACGAUGAAUAUUAAAAGGAUCUUUUAUAUAGAAGAUAGAUUGUUUUAUUGGCUGGAAACAGAACGUUCCGGAUGUCGCUGACCUUGAUCGGCUCGAGAUUGGCACUUCUUUCAAACGAUUCAUCGAGGAGUCGAUUAAAAAUUUAAUCGUCAAGCUUGCGAAUGAAUCGAUCAAACGUACAUUUUGAUUUGUGAACUAAAGAAGCAUAUUUAUAUUUUGCAUAAUGCACGUGGCAGACAUCUGUUAUUAUUCUAUUAAGGCGUUGAUUGAGAGAUAGAUGUUGAUUGAUUACAAUAGAAUUUGAUUAUAUUAGAUUUAGUUUAUUUUAAAUAAAAGAGCAACUCAAAAUCUUUAAUGAGAAGAUUCAUUGAUUAUUUUAAUUUUACAGUAAUAUUUUGAAUGAAUGAAUGGUUUGAAAAUGAAAUACAAUGUAUAGUGAAUAAUUUUGAAAUUAGUAAUGA
rnacentral:lncRNA from 1 species